rnacentral:rRNA from 1 species
UGCAGCAGUGGGAAUAUUGCGCAAUGGGCGAAAGCCUGACGCAGCGACGCCGCGUGAGGGAUGAAGGCCUUCGGGUUGUAGACCUCUUUCAGCGCCGAAGAAGCGAAAGUGACGGUAGGCGCAGAAGAAGCACCGGCUAACUACGUGCCAGCAGCCGCGGUAAUACGUAGGGUGCAAGCGUUGUCCGGAAUUAUUGGGCGUAAAGAGCUCGUAGGCGGUUUGUCGCGUCUGCUGUGAAAACUCGGGGC